GGCUUGGUAGCGAAGGGUUCCGCAUCUGCUGUCCUUGAGUAUGUCCAAAAUGUACAAUGCAGAUACUGCCUGUUCGAAUCAGGCCCGAGCCA